rnacentral:sRNA from 1 species
AUUUUGCGUGAGGGAUUGCAGCGGCAUCCUUUGUGAAGACUACUUAGUCUUUAUAAAGAUAUAGCGUAAAGCCCGACCCCAA